rnacentral:piRNA from 1 species
UCCUAUGAUAAAUGACUGAAA